UACGAAGGGGGCUAGCGUUGCUCGGAUUGACUGGGCGUAAAGGGCGCGUAGGCGGUUCGUACAGUCAGACGUGAAAUUCCUGGGCUCAACCUGGGGGCUGCGUUUGAUACGUGCGGACUUGAGUGCGGAAGAGGGUCGUGGAAUUCCCAGUGUAGAGGUGAAAUUCGUAGAUAUUGGGAAGAACACCGGUGGCGAAGGCGGCUACCUGGACCGAUAUUGACGCUGAGACGCGAAAGCGUGGGGAGCAAACAGG
rnacentral:rRNA from 1 species